rnacentral:rRNA from 1 species
GACGAACGCUGGCGGCGUGCCUAAUACAUGCCAGUUGAGCGCUGAAGGUUGGUACUUGUACCGACUGGAUGAGCAGCGAACGGGUGAGUAACGCGUGGGGAAUCUGCCUUUGAGCGGGGGACAACAUUUGGGAACGAAUGCUAAUACCGCAUAAAAACUUUAAACACAAGGUUGAAGUUUGAAAGAUGCAAUUGCAUCACUCAAAGAUGAUCCCGCGUUGUAUUAGCUAGUUGGUGAGGUAAAGGCCCACCAAGGCGAGGAUACAUAGCCGACCGGAGAGGGUGGUCGGCCACAUUGGGACUGAGACACGGCCCAAACUACUACGAGAGGCAGCAGUAGGGAAUCUUCGGCAAUGGACGAAAGUCUGACCGAGCAACGCCGCGUGAGUGAAGAAGGUUUUCGGAUCGUAAAACUCGGUUGGUAGUGAAGAACGUUGGUGGGAGUGGAAAGCUCAUCAAGUGACGGUAACUACCCAGAAAGGGACGGCUAACUACGUG